GGCCCGUUAGCUCAGUUGGUUAGAGCGUCGUGCUAAUAACGCGAAGGUCGUGGGUUCAAUCCCCCCACGGGCCA
rnacentral:tRNA from 1 species